rnacentral:rRNA from 1 species
CACGUAGGGCGCAAGCGUUGUCCGGAUUUAUUGGGCGUAAAGAGCGUGUAGGCGGCCUGAAAGGUCAGCUGUGAAAACUCGAGGCUCAACCUCGAGACGUCGGUUGAAACCAUCUGGCUAGAGUCCGGAAGAGGAGUGUGGAAUUCCCGGUGUAGCGGUGAAAUGCGCAGAUAUCGGGAAGAACACCCGUGGCGAAGGCGGCACUCUGGGACGGUACUGACGCUGAGACGCGAAAGCGUGGGGAGCGAACAGG